rnacentral:lncRNA from 1 species
UUACAGUGUAUGCCUGGCACUGGAGUACCUAAUACACUAAAUCUUCGAGUAAUCUAAUGCCCAUUUUGCUCUUGGCUUCUAGCUCUGAAAGAAGAGUGGCAAACUAAUUGUGAAAGCAACAGAGGCUUUUAUGGUCUUCACAAAGCUUGGUGUAUCCAAAUGCAGAUUAGUCUCAGGGAUGCCAUGUCAGUUAAGAGUAAUCUAUGGUCCUUUCAAAACUCUUGCUGGGUUUUGCCUAAGAUUCGAAGCCUAAAGCUCUGAAUUCUGACCUCCCUGAUUACUGACUGAGGAAACAAUAUCCCCAAAAUGGAAAGCUCCAGGUCUGUGUGCUUAGAUUUAGGCUCCAAGGACUGAACACCCUGCAUGUAAGGUGUGUGUCUAAGCAGUAUUUAUGACAUAACAAACCAGCCAAGAGCUGGAGGUUCUGAUCAGCAAAUAAGGAAGGAACAACAUCUGACAUCUUUACCCACUUUAACUGUGAGUAUAUGAAAUCUAGGCAACAAAAUAAAUAGAACAGAGACUGGAAGACGUGAUGCUUCCUGGGAGAACAUGUGCCCGAAAGUUCCCACAAUAAUCUCAUCAUGAGGCUCACUCGUUCUCACCUCCAGAGUUCUGGGGGGUAAAAUAAUACAUAAAUGCAAGGAUUAUCUUAUAUAUACACCAAGGGAAAGGAAAUACUGCCUAUUAAGAAUUAGCAGCUAACAGCUGGGCGCGGUGGCUCACACCUGUAAUCCCAGCACUUUGGGAGGCCAAGGCAGGCGGAUCACAAGAUCAGGAGUUCGAGACCAUGCUGGCUAACAAGCAUCAAGCAAAGAACUUGUAAUACGCUGAAUGCUGCAUAGAAGGUUUUGAAACUACUUACCUGCUGUGGAACACCUGUAUAACUUUAAAAUGCAUCAAUCAAUCUCGAGAGUAUGAUCAUGCUUCCUGCUUUUAAGGAUCUGAAGUUAACUGCAACUCCAAGUAUACAAGACUUCUUUGGGACCCAUGGAAGCAUCUCUACAUGCUCAUGUUUGCCAGAUUCAGUGGCCUCCUGAAACCUGGCCCUAGCUAAUAAGUUAAAAAGCUCUAAGUAAUCCCGAGCUGCAUUUGAAUCUCCAAGAUCACUUGUUCAUGGGUUGGUAAUACUUUAAAGAGCCAUUUGUUUAACUGCUAAUCUGGAUCUUAUAUUCUGAGCCCCAGCUUUUUUCUAAAGCAAAGAAAAUACAAAAUAAAAGUAAGACCAAAUGCCUUUGUACCAUGGAGAGAGAAAUGACUCAUUGGAAUGCUUCUGUUUUUCAUCACAUCAAAGAUGCAUCAACAUAAAUCAACCAUUAUAUCAUGCACCAUGAUAAAAAAGGGGGAUAAAAGUCCCCAAACCACUGCCAAUUAAACCAACACAGUGCCUUUGUAUUAUUCAGAAUUUUUAUCUUAGCCUUAUUGAAAGAGCUUUUUUAGAACAUAUUUAAACAAUUCUGUCAUAUUUCAUUCUUGCAUACUCAUUAAAAAGGAAAAUAUGAGAGAUACAAAUGAAAGGUUUCCAAAAGUUUCCUCUCAUUCAGAAUCCAAUUCUUCAGAAUUAUUUUGCAACCCAGACUCUUUGAUGUCCUCGUUUUCCCACCAAAUAUGUUAUCAAGAGCAUGGUAGGGCAGAGUUUCUUAGAAGAAGGCAAUGUUAUUGUCAUUGAACACUGGCACUCAUCCUACAAGUUUUGAUUUUGGCCUCUUUUUUUCUGUGGGGUGGGGGGCAGGGUCUCGCUCUGUUGCCCAGGCUGGAGUGCAGUGGCACAGUCAUGGAUCACUGCAGCCUUGGCCUCCUGGGCUCAAGUCGUCCUCCCACCUCAGCCUCCCAAGUAGCUGAGACCGCAAGUGUGUGCUAUGUUUUUAUUUUUUUACUUUUAUUUUUUUAAUUUUAUUUAUUUACUGUUUAUUUAUUUAUUUAUUUUUGAGACAGGGUCUCACUCUGUCACCCAGGCUGGAGUGCACUGGUGUGA